UAGAAUAAUGUAGCUGAGGGAAGUCGGCAAAUUACAUCCGUAACUUCGGGAUAAGGAUUGGCUCUGAAGAUUGAGAUAGUCGGGCUUGAUUGGGAAGAAAUAAUAUGGUUUAUGUACUCAUACUUACCGAGUAGAGAUUUUCGGAUCUUGUUCUUCGGAUGUCAGUUACGUAGUCAAUUGUGGAACUUUCUUGCUAAAAUUUUUAAGGAAUUAUCGUAAGACAUAUUCUUUUUAAAUCAUGGCGAUUAUCAAUUAACAAUCAUUUCAGAACUGGCAUGGACUUGGAGAAUCCGACUGUCUAAUUAAAACAAAGCAUUGCGAUGGCCCUAACGGAUGUUGACACAAUGUGAUUUCUGCCCAGUGCUCUGAAUGUCAAAGUCAAGAAAUUCAAGUAAGCGCGAGUAAACGGUGGGAGUAACUAUGAUUCUCUCUCCUAGUAACGAUGACAAACAUCCAUGUAGCGAUUGCAAAAGGCAGCUGACAUCAUAGAAGUGCUUAUUCUAACCCAUUCGUGGCUCCUGCUGAGCGGUGGACGCGCAGGAUUGCUCUCUUCCAGACUCCUAGAGAUAUUUUUCUAAAUUCUUAGACAAUUGUUCUAGAUUUUGACAGAAGAGACCUUCCGGUGUCUGCCAUUAAGUCAUUAUAUCGCGAACGCGUGGCAGGAUACAUGUCGUCGAUCAUCAGUACCCACACUACCUCCA
rnacentral:ncRNA from 1 species